UACCUGCAGCUCGAGUGGUAACCGCUAUUAUUGGGCCUAAAGCGUCCGUAGCCGGUUUGGUAAAUAUCUGGGUAAAUCGUGAGGCUUAACUUCACGAAUUUCGGAUAGACUGCCAGACUUGGGAUCGGGGGAGGUCAGAGGUACUCCAGGGGUAGCGGUGAAAUGUUGUAAUCCUUGGAGGACCACCGGUAGCGAAGGCGUCUGACUAGAACGAGUCCGACGGUGAGGGACGAAGCCCUGGGGCGCAAACCGGAUUAGAUACCCGGGUAGUCCAGGGUGUAAACUAUGUGGGGCUUUGUAUUGGAGGUCCCAUGUGGGCGUCCAGUGCAGAAGAGAAGUUGUUAAGCCCACCGCCUGGGAAGUACGGUCGCAAGGCUGAAACUUAAAGGAAUUGGCGGGGGAGCACAGCAACGGGAGGAGCGUGCGGUU
rnacentral:rRNA from 1 species